GCCUUGGUGGUGUAGCGGUAGAGCAUGUGUCCUCGGAUAGCAUGAAAAGCGGGUUUGAUUCCCGCCUGAGGCC